CACGUAGGGCGCAAGCGUUGUCCGGAAUUAUUGGGCGUAAAGAGCUCGUAGGCGGUCUGUUGCGUCUGCUGUGAAAACCCGGGGCUUAACCCCUGGCUUGCAGUGGAUACGGACAGACUAGAGGUAGGUAGGGGAGAAUGGAAUUCCCGGUGUAGCGGUGAAAUGCGCAGAUAUCGGGAGGAACACCGAUGGCGAAGGCAGGUCUCUGGGCAUUAACUGACGCUGAGGAGCGAAAGCAUGGGGAGCGAACAGG
rnacentral:rRNA from 1 species